rnacentral:other from 1 species
GAUGCCCUGCCUUACGCGUGAUGGGAAGAUUUUCUCUGAACCAACACGAUCUUCUUGGGAGGACGGUCUGUUGCCGGUGUGCAUGCUCUCCCCGGAGAGAAGCCUGAAGGCAGUCAGCCUACUCCCGACCUGUUCAUGACAGGUUCAAGAAGACGACCCACACGGUAAGGCGGGGUCCCU